UCCCCCGCGUGUUCUCUCUCUCGUCCCCGAGCUCUUGCUCUCUCUCUCUCACCUCUGCAACUCCGGUUGCUUUCUCUUUCCGGCCACCAAAAAGCGUAAAACCGGUGGCUACGGACUCGUCUCGACCUCCUCUUGGUGCCUGCGGUGAUGGCUCAUGGCGGCUUGGCCGGAAAAUGACGCAUCGAGCUGUGGAAGUUUCACUGUAGCAGAAGUGGUCAACGCCAGUUUCUCCCGAUUCCGGCCACCUCCGGCGACGAACCAUAAUCAUUUGGAAGCGCCUUGCGAUGUAGAUGAUGCUCCCCAAAUAUUUUGCAGCGAUUUGAAGCGUGGAGGAAGAAUUGAAGGGCAAUGUUGCGAGCUACGGCUAGAUGAAGGAACUCGUUUGCGUGGUCGCCCAUUAGUACUUUUGCAGGCGCUAUUAGUUGAGGUCGGGCGUACAUGGAUCGAGGCAUAGUUGACGAAUAGCUUCCGCGCUUCUUUGUUUGGCUCUGAUCUAUUGUGGGUUACUAUUUUGGGUAGUCCUCUUUAGGGGUGACUCGACCAGUUCUCGGUAGAGUUAUCUCUAAGGUGGGCCCCGCAGGGCCACCUCGGAUUUCAGGGUGAAAUUCGGGGCGGGUCCUGUCAUAUAUUUACAAACCACACUCCUUUGCUAUAGAAAUUUCUAAUUUGCCCUUAUCUUCUUUAUUAUCUUCCUCACUUCACUUCCCCCUUUUCCCUUUCUUCUCACCCCAUGUCCCCUCCAACAGAUUAAGCAACCCCUUUCUUCACUUUAUCAGGUUAUUGUACGUGACUUUAAACUUUCUACAAGUGGAUGUGAUAAUUAAAGAGGAGUAGAGCAUGUAGAACCAUAUGUGAAGAGGAGUAUAGCACAGGUUUCCAAUCAAAGCAACAGCAUAGGGGACCAAACUCUCAGGUCGGAAGUUUUCAGUUUUGCAAAUUGUGGACAGAGUGACAGACCCAACAUUUUUUUGCAUCUAAAGCUUA